rnacentral:rRNA from 1 species
AUUGAACGCUGGCGGCAGGCCUAACACAUGCAAGUCGAGCGAGCGGCGGACGGGUGAGUAAUGUAUGGGGACUGCCCGAUAGCGGGGGAUAACUACUGGAAACGGUAGCUAAUACCGCAUACUAUCGGAUAACCCAUAUGGGAUUGUCUAGUAGGUGAGGUAAUGGCUCACCUAGGCGACGAUCCCUAGCUGGUCUGAGAGGAUGCUCAGCCAAACGGGGACUGGGAAACGGCCCAGACUCCUACGGAGGCAGCGGGGGGGAAUAUGGCACAAUGGGCGAAAGCCUGAUGCAGCCAUGCCGCGUGGAUGAAGAAGGCCAUAGGGUUGUAAAGUACUUUCAGUCGGGAGGCGUUACCGACAGAAGAAGCACCGGCUAACUCCGUGCCAGCAGCCGCGGUAAUUC